CAUCCACAAUUCAAUAUUUGAAUCGAAGCAUGCAUACGGAGCUGCAUCGAGCGGACGAACCACGCCCUCCCCAUCCAUGCGCCUAGGGACUUGCUUCACGAUUCAACGAUGAAUCGCGGUGCCGAGUCAUUCACGGAUCUCCUCUUCAGCUUUUGUUCCCAGCCGGCUGCAACAGAGGGCGUCCCAGAUCUGGGAUUGCUAGAGGAGGAGGAGGAGGGCGAAGAGCGCAUCCAUCCUAAUUUCCAGAACCAUUCUCCUUCUUCAAGCCAAGAUAGAGAGAAAUAUGGUGCCACAGAUUCAGGAACUCCUGAAGAUUAGGAGGCUAUGCCAGAUUUCUCCAACGUCCCAGAUAUUGACGACGCUGAAGAGACCCAGCCUGAAUCGCAUCCCAUUCCAGUUCCGUGGACUCAAAGGGCCCGACUUGGCAAAAUUCCUGACAGCCGUGCCACAUUAUCGGGAAGGAAAAGUGCUUUGGAAAAAUUCCUACAAGCAAGGUCUACACUGCAGCUAUGUAUGAGCUGUUCCAACACGCAAUUUACUUGUCAGGGUCAUUUGUGUUACAAGAGGCCUGGCAACUGAUGGUCUACGUCGUUAACCACAUCUAUGCAGAGAGGAGGCAAGCAUGGUCCAGGACACAAUAUCAUGUUCUGUUUCAUCAGGGGUCUGGAGGAUAUUUAUGUGAGUGUGGUCUUUACUCUCAUAUGGGCAUGCUGUGCUGUCAUGCUAUUCGCGUAUGUCACGAGACUCAUGCUAUCUUCAUCUGACGGAGCUUAUUUGCGAUGGUGCUGCUACAUCUCGGAGUUAGGGAGAUCCCAGAAGUACACAUCAUGAAGAGAUGGACGAAGAACGCUUGCGAGAACCUGCCAGAGCAUCUGAUGAUAUAUAAAGCAUGCAAUUCUGCACUGAAGGACGCAACUUAUCGUCACUCUUCCUUGUACAGUAAGGCGCUCGAGAUUGUUCAAAUGGGGGAUAAGAACACUGAAGCUUAUGGAGCUGCAAUGAAGCAGUUGCUGGACGCAAUAAGUGUUCUAAAUGAUAUCAACCAGUAGAGCGAUGGCGAGGGUUAAAUGACCAGGCCACUGUUCAAGCACAUGACCAAGAUGUCCCUGUGACACCAGGAGCAAAUGGUCUGUCAGGUUCAAUGAAUGUUGUAUCACGCAAGAGGGACCGAGGCAGGCCAACAAAUGCAAGAGCAAAGCCAGGUUAUGAAAAUGUCAGCAAGCCAAGAACAAAGUUUUGCUCAAUUUGUAGAGGGAGGGGUCACAAAGCAUCAGGAUGCCCCUCAUAUGGAGGUGUAGCAAAGAAACAAAGGAAAGUUCCAAAGUGUACAAAGUGCGGCCUAGAAGGCCACAAGAGGAAUAACUGCUCAGGAAGAAUGUUCGGCGUCUUCCAAUGACUUGAUUGCACUUGCAACUGGUUUUGUUUUACGCCUGGCUUGUGCAUUUUUUGGUUUGCAAAUGACUUUUUUUGCUGUUAAGGAAGAUGAAAAAUGAUGCUGUAGUGAACAUUUAGGUUUAUUUUGCGGCCAUGUAGUGAUCUUUCAGUUUCAAGACAUUAAAACUUGGCACUGCUUCAGAUGAUGUGCAAGUGUCAAUAUAGCCAUUGUACUGAUGCGAGAACCAAGUUCAAUUGAAAUUGAAACGGGGCUUGUCUUUUGUCUAA